CCUACGGGGGGCUGCAGUAGGGAAUCUUCCACAAUGGACGAAAGUCUGAUGGAGCAAUGCCGCGUGCAGGAUGAAGGCCUUCGGGUUGUAAACUGCUUUUAUGGGGGAGGAAUAUGACAGUACCCCAUGAAUAAGCUUCGGCUAACUCCGUGCCAGCAGCCGCGGUCAUACGGAGGAAGCAAGCGUUAUCCGGAAUUAUUGGGCGUAAAGAGAUGCGUAGGUGGUUCACCAAGCAAAGCAUGAAAUCAUGAGGCUCAACCUCAUGACUGUGCUUUGAACUGAUGAACUUGAGCAUGAUAGAGGUAACUGGAAUUCCUUGUGUAGGAGUGAAAUCCGUAGAUAUAAGGAGGAACACCAAUGGCGAAGGCAGGUUACUGGAUCAUUACUGACACUGAGGCUCGAAAGCGUGGGGAGCGAACGGGCUUAGAUACCCCUGUAGUC
rnacentral:rRNA from 1 species